rnacentral:tRNA from 1 species
GAGAAGGCCUACAAGGGCUGCUAACCCAUGCUUCCGUACUUAAAACUACGGCCUUCUCA